AGAGUUUGAUCCUGGCUCAGGACGAACGCUGGCGGCGUGCCUAAUACAUGCAAGUCGAACGGUUUAGUUAUCUGUCAUCAGAAGUCAGACGUUGGGUAAGAGCGAAGAGCCUGGGGUAACACCUUAGGGAAAGAGUGAAGGGCCUGGCGGCUGGAAGCUGAUGAUGGACGACUGGAUAGUGGCGCACGGGUGAGUAACACGUGGGCAAUCUGCCCGGAAGACUGGGAUAACAGCGCGAAAGUGCUGCUAAUACCGGAUACCUUCACGAAGUCGCAUGACUUUGUGCAGAAAGUUUUUCGCUUCCGGAUGAGCCCGCGUCCCAUUAGCUAGUUGGUGAGGUAACGGCCCACCAAGGCGACGAUGGGUAGCUGGUCUGAGAGGACGAUCAGCCACACUGGAACUGAGACACGGUCCAGACUCCUACGGGAGGCAGCAGUGGGGAAUCUUGCGCAAUGGGCGAAAGCCUGACGCAGCAACGCCGCGUGAACGAUGAAGGCCUUCGGGUCGUAAAGUUCUGUCAAGGGGGACGAUAAUGACGGUACCCUUGGAGGAAGCCCCGGCUAACUACGUGCCAGCCGCCGCGGUAAUUC
rnacentral:rRNA from 1 species